UACGGGGGGGGGCAAGCGUUGUUCGGAAUUACUGGGCGUAAAGGGCUCGUAGGCGGCCAACUAAGUCAGACGUGAAAUCCCUCGGCUUAACCGGGGAACUGCGUCUGAUACUGGAUGGCUUGAGUUCGGGAGAGGGAUGCGGAAUUCCAGGUGUAGCGGUGAAAUGCGUAGAGAUGUGGAGGAACACCAGUGGCGAAGGCGGCUUUUUGGUCUGUAACUGACGCUGAGGCGCGAAAGCGUGGGGAGCAAACAGG
rnacentral:rRNA from 1 species